AUCCAGAUGACGAGUCCCAAAUAGAACGAAACGCGUGUCCUGGAU
rnacentral:hammerhead_ribozyme from 1 species